GUCAAUUACUCUUUCCUACUGGUUACUCGACUCUGUUCUUUAUUGCAUGGAGUAGUGUCGCAAGGCAUCGCUUAGUAUUUUAUUGCUUUUAGAUGUAGUAAUUGGGUAAAACUGGUUAUGAAACCUAAGGGAUCACAGUAAAGUAUUAAGUGGGGUUCCAGUUCAUUUUACUUUGAGUAAAUUAGAGUGUUCAAAGCAGCCUGUAUGGGCAUUGAAUAGAUUAGCAUGGGGAUAAUAGAAUAGGAUUCUUAUCUAUUUUAUUGGGUUUAUAGAUUUUAGAAUAAUGAUUAAUAGGGGAUAGUUGGGGGCACUUGUAUUCAUAGUCAGAGGUGAAAUUCUAGGAUUUAUUGAAGACAAACUUCAGCGAAAGCAUUUGCCAAGGAUGUUUUCAUAAUCAGAACGAAAGUUAGGGGGAUCGAAGACGAUUAGACACCGUCGUAGUCUUAACUAUAAACUAAUGGCCGACCAGGGGAUAUGAGAGUUUUU
rnacentral:rRNA from 1 species